AGCGAACAGAUAAGGAGCUUGCUCCUUUGACGUUAGCGGCGGACGGGUGAGUAACACGUGGGUAACCUACCUAUAAGACUGGGAUAACUUCGGGAAACCGGAGCUAAUACCGGAUAACAUUUGGAACCGCAUGGUUCUAAAGUGAAAGAUGGUUUUGCUAUCACUUAUAGAUGGACCCGCGCCGUAUUAGCUAGUUGGUAAGGUAACGGCUUACCAAGGCGACGAUACGUAGCCGACCUGAGAGGGUGAUCGGCCACACUGGAACUGAGACACGGUCCAGACUCCUACGGGAGGCAGCAGUAGGGAAUCUUCCGCAAUGGGCGAAAGCCUGACGGAGCAACGCCGCGUGAGUGAUGAAGGGUUUCGGCUCGUAAAACUCUGUUAUUAGGGAAGAACAAAUGUGUAAGUAACUGUGCACGUCUUGACGGUACCUAAUCAGAAAGCCACGGCUAACUACGUGCCAGCAGCCGCGGUAAUACGUAGGUGGCAAGCGUUAUCCGGAAUUAUUGGGCGUAAAGCGCGCGUAGGCGGUUUCUUAAGUCUGAUGUGAAAGCCCACGGCUCAACCGUGGAGGGUCAUUGGAAACUGGGAAACUUGAGUGCAGAAGAGGAAAGUGGAAUUCCAUGUGUAGCGGUGAAAUGCGCAGAGAUAUGGAGGAACACCAGUGGCGAAGGCGACUUUCUGGUCUGUAACUGACGCUGAUGUGCGAAAGCGUGGGGAUCAAACAGGAUUAGAUACCCUGGUAGUCCACGCCGUAAACGAUGAGUGCUAAGUGUUAGGGGGUUUCCGCCCCUUAGUGCUGCAGCUAACGCAUUAAGCACUCCGCCUGGGGAGUACGACCGCAAGGUUGAAACUCAAAGGAAUUGACGGGGACCCGCACAAGCGGUGGAGCAUGUGGUUUAAUUCGAAGCAACGCGAAGAACCUUACCAAAUCUUGACAUCCUUUGAAAACUCUAGAGAUAGAGCUUUCCCCUUCGGGGGACAAAGUGACAGGUGGUGCAUGGUUGUCGUCAGCUCGUGUCGUGAGAUGUUGGGUUAAGUCCCGCAACGAGCGCAACCCUUAAGCUUAGUUGCCAUCAUUAAGUUGGGCACUCUAGGUUGACUGCCGGUGACAAACCGGAGGAAGGUGGGGAUGACGUCAAAUCAUCAUGCCCCUUAUGAUUUGGGCUACACACGUGCUACAAUGGACAAUACAAAGGGCAGCUAAACCGCGAGGUCAUGCAAAUCCCAUAAAGUUGUUCUCAGUUCGGAUUGUAGUCUGCAACUCGACUACAUGAAGCUGGAAUCGCUAGUAAUCGUAGAUCAGCAUGCUACGGUGAAUACGUUCCCGGGUCUUGUACACACCGCCCGUCACACCACGAGAGUUUGUAACACCCGAAGCCGGUGGAGUAACCA
rnacentral:rRNA from 1 species